rnacentral:rRNA from 1 species
GACGAACGCUGGCGGCGUGCUUAACACAUGCAAGUCGAACGGAAAGGCCCUGCUUUUGUGGGGUGCUCGAGUGGCGAACGGGUGAGUAACAAGUGAGUAACCUGCCCUUGACUUUGGGAUAACUUCAGGAAACUGGGGCUAAUACCGGAUAGGAGCUCCUGCUGCAUGGUGGGGGUUGGAAAGUUUCGGCGGUUGGGGAUGGACUCGCGGCUUAUCAGCUUGUUGGUGGGGUAGUAGCUUACCAAGGCUUUGACGGGUAGCCGGCCUGAGAGGGUGACCGGCCACAUUGGGACUGAGAUACGGCCCAGACUCCUACGGGAGGCAGCAGUGGGGAAUAUUGCACAAUGGGCGGAAGCCUGAUGCAGCAACGCCGCGUGCGGGAUGUCGGCCUUCGGGUUGUAAACCGCUUUCGCCUGUGACGAAGCGCGAGUGACGGUAAUGGGUAAAGAAGCACCGGCUAACUACGUG